AUUCCAGCUCCAAUAGCGUAUAUUAAAGUUGUUGCAGUUAAAAAGCUCGUAGUUGAAUUUUGGACCUGGUUGAAUGGUCCCGCCGCAAGGUGGGUACUGUUUGAUUGGGUCUUUCUUUGCGGGGAAUUAGUGUGCUCUUAAUUGGGUGCAUUAAGGAUCCGUAACUUUUACUUUGAAAAAAUUAGAGUGUUUAAAGCAGGCUUAGGCCUGAAUACAUUAGCAUGGAAUAAUAGAAUAGGACCUGCGUUCUAUUUUGUUGGUUUCUAGGACGUAGGUAAUGAUUAAUAGGGACAGUUGGGGGCAUUAGUAUUUAAGUGUCAGAGGUGAAAUUCUUGGAUUGCUUAAAGACUAACUUCUGCGAAAGCAUUUGCCAAGGAUGUUUUCAUUG
rnacentral:rRNA from 1 species